GAUGAACGCUGGCGGCGUGCUUAACACAUGCAAGUCGAACGGAAAGGCUCCUGCUUGCAGGGGUACUCGAGUGGCGAACGGGUGAGUAACACGUGGGUGAUCUGCCCUGCACUUCGGGAUAAGCCGGGGAAACUGGGUCUAAUACCGGAUAGGACUAUGGUUUGGAUGCCAUUGUGGAAAGUUUUUCGGUGUGGGAUGAGCUCGCGGCCUAUCAGCUUGUUGGGGGGGUAAUGGCCUACCAAGGCGGCGACGGGUAGCCGGCCUGAGAGGGUGUACGGCCACAUUGGGACUGAGAUACGGCCCAGACUCCUACGGGAGGCAGCAGUGGGGAAUAUUGCACAAUGGGCGCAAGCCUGAUGCAGCGACGCCGCGUGGGGGAUGACGGCCUUCGGGUUGUAAACUCCUUUCGCUAGGGACGAAGCGUUUUGUGACGGUACCUGGAGAAGAAGCACCGGCUAACUACGUG
rnacentral:rRNA from 1 species